rnacentral:rRNA from 1 species
ACGGCCAUAUCCAGGUGAAAGCACGACUUCCCGUCCG